rnacentral:tRNA from 1 species
GGGGGAUUAGCUCAGUUGGCUAGAGCGCUACACUGGCAGUGUAGAGGCCACCGGUUCGAAUCCGGUAUCCUCCACCA